rnacentral:rRNA from 1 species
UACAGAGGAUGCGAGCGUUAUCCGGAUUUAUUGGGUUUAAAGGGUGCGUAGGCGGACUGUCAAGUCAGCGGUAAAAUUGAGAGGCUCAACCUCUUCCCGCCGUUGAAACUGGUGGUCUUGAGUGGAUGAGAAGUACGCGGAAUGCGUGGUGUAGCGGUGAAAUGCAUAGAUAUCACGCAGAACUCCGAUUGCGAAGGCAGCGUACCGGCAUCCAACUGACGCUGAGGCACGAAAGCGUGGGGAUCAAACAGG